rnacentral:rRNA from 1 species
GUGCCAGCCGCCGCGGUAAUACCGGCAGCUCGAGUGAUGUCCAAUAUUAUUGGGCCUAAAGCGUCCGUAGCUGGCUGCGCAAGUCCGUCGGGAAAUCCGCCAGCUCAACGGGCGGCCGUCCGGCGGAACCUGUGUGGCUUGGGACCGGGAGGCCUGAGGGGUACGAUCGGGGUAGGAGUGAAAUCCUGUAAUCCCGCUCGGACCGCCGAUGGGGAAACCACCUCAGGAGAACGGAUCCGACAGUGAGGGACGAGAGCCAGGGUCUCCAACCGGAUUAGAUACCCUUUCUCC